UGCUGCAGAGAAACAAAGACCGAGCUAAGCUCGACGCCGGACGAAACACUACGCAGUACCUGGCACGACGUUCAGCUGCGCAAGCACAAGGGGCGCAAUGCAGCGGCCAUGGGAGAUGCUGUGGAGGAACUCGGCAGGAAAAAAAUAAAACAGAGCAGGCGACUGGAGGAGCGCCGGCUGGGGAAGAAGCAGCUCCGCUGCUGGGGACCAGAGGCGGCCGAGCGAGGCAUCAGGGCGAGCGCCAGGGAGUGCGGCAAACAGUACGCAGCGAGUUGGGACCAAGCACCGGCCAUGGGAGCUUGGACAGGCGCGGCGUCAGAGAGCUCCAACCAGGAGCCGAGCACAGGGAGAUAGGCGAACUGGAUUG
rnacentral:misc_RNA from 1 species